CUAAUCACCUCCAUAGUUUCUCAAACAGUUUCAUCUUCUCCGAUAAAAACUCAUCCGUCUCUCAUCAAUCAUUACGCUCUUUACUUCGAUCCAUCAUCGUCUUGAUAAUGAUUUCGUUUCGCCUUCCUCUUUUCCUCUUUCUUUAUAUAUCCAUCUUCCUUUCUUUCAACAAACCAAAACCCUAGAUCUACUCCACUCUCAAUCCAUGGCGAUGAUGAAACCAAAUGGAAAGUCCCAUGUCUCCUCCGUUUCUGAUGAGAAAAUCAUGUUCUUCAGAGAUAUCUCUUUUGGUCCCCACGAAACUCAGUUGCGCUUCCGUCUUCUCCACUUCUGGGAGGCGUGGAACCCAAGUGAAGAAGGUGCUUAUUGGCCUCGAAAUGUUCCUCAUCGACGAACAAGGGAACUGUUAUCCAAGGAUUUAUUCCGCCAGGCCGUAUCGAGAAGUAACGGCCUCAUAUGAAACGAGGAUCAGUUUACAAACUCAACAACUUCUAUGGAUCGAAAAACAAAGAGCUGUUUCGUGUUUCUGAUCAUAGCUUCACGGUGUCGUUCUCAUGGAACUCUGAAAUGUCUGGUUCUUCAGGACAGCUCCAUCCCCUUUGAUGAAGACAGAUUCCGGUUUCAUUCGUAUGAGGAAUUUGAGGCUAACUGGGAACUCAAAGGUGACCUCUAUGAUGUUGUUGGGCAUGAAGCUGGUUAAUGGACAGAGUCUCACUGAACGUCCAGUCCUUGACGAAGUGGAGAUAGCAGCUACGAGGCAUCUGGUGGUUCAUGUACAAUCACAUGAAUGUGUUACCUUCUUUCCUAAACACCCCUUUCUGUAUUACUUAUAACCAGCAAGUGUUGAUUCUUUUGUAGUGGACCUAUGAUGAAGCUCUACCUUUGGGACCAGUCUUGCAACAGACUUCUGCAAAAAAUUCAAGGCCUGCGAGAAAACACUCCCACCGUCAUACUGGUCACGACGGUUAACACCAAGCGUCUAGGAGGUUCUCCUUUCCCUUUUAGCGGAAAAAGUGCCUAUUUCAACAUGAACUUUACCCGUCGUGCCUAUUCCUUUACGAACUUUGUAGCAGUGCGUAUUCCACACUGAACUAAACAAAUUUUUUUAAAUACUAUAUGAACUUUAUGCGUCGUGUCUAUUCCUUCACGAACUUUAUAGUAGUGCGUAUUUCACAUUGAACUAAACAAAAAUAAAAAAAAUACUGCAUAGACUCUCAAAAUAGUGCUUAUUUCAAUAUUGAGCGUUAAAUGUGUUAGUCAUCCGUUAAUUUAUCAAAACAACGUCAUUUUGAAUAAAUUUUGUGAAAUUAAAAAUCAAAAUAAAAUAUAGACUCUUAAAAUUGUGCUUAUAUAUAUUGACUGUCAAAUGUAAUAGUCAUCCUUUAAUUUACCAAAAACCUCUCAAAAUUGUACUUAUAUAUUGACUGUCAAAAGUGAUAGUCAUGUUUUAAUUUAUCAAAAGAUUUUAUUUUGGAUAAAUUCUAUGAAAUUAUCCAUCAAUUUGUAAUUUUUUUUUUUUUAUAAAAUCUAUCAAAAUGACGUUAUUUUGAUAAAUUAACGUAUGACUAACACUUUUGAUUUCUUAAACAGAAAAAUACUAACACUUUUGACGGUUAAUGUACAUAUAUAUAUGACUACACCUUUGAUUUGCUGACAAAAAAAAGACGAACACCUUUGACGCUCAAAAUCGUGAUUAUAUAUAUACACCGUCAAAGAUGUUAGUCUUUCUUUGUCAGUAAGUGAAAGGUGUUAGUCAAGUCAUACAUUAGUUUAUUAAAACAACGUCAUUUUGGAUAAAUUUUUUGUAAAAUGAAAAAAUUAAAAAACGACGGACAAUUUCAUAGAAUUUAUCUAAAAUAGUCUUUUGAUAAAAUCAAUGAUGACUAUUACUUUUGACAGUCAAUAUAUAUAAGCACAAUUUUGAGAGUGUAUUUUAUUUUUAAUUUUUAAUUUUUAAUUUCACAAAUUUAUACAAAAUGACGUUGUUUUGAUACAUUAACGGAUGACUAACACAUUUAACACUCAAUAUUGAAAUAAGCACGAUUUUGAGAGUCUAUGUAGUAUUUUUUGAUUUUGGUUUAGUUCAAUGUGAAAUACGCACUACUAUAAAGUUUGUGAAGAAUUAGACACGACGCAUAAAGUUCAUAUAGUAUUUAAAAAAAUUUGUUUAGUUCAGUGUGGAAUACGCACUACUACAAAGUUCGUGAGGGAAUAGGCACGACCCGUAAAAUUCAUAUUGAAAUAGCAGGUACUCUAGCACUGAGCUCAAUGUAUUCUUCACGUGUUUUUAUGGACUACGAUGUCCAACCUACCAGAGAUUACUUCGCCUGGUUGGGCUCUAACCCAGAGGUUGCUAAGCUGGUUAAUGCGGAGGUGAUCACUAAGACUUAGAUACUGACUAUAAGCGAGAUAUUCUCCUACAUCCAACAGGAAUCUGCAAAGGAGGCUUAUUUUGAGUGCAUAGCUACGAUUGAUGAUGUCGUGCAUGGCUCUGCAUGGUACUAUAUUGCAUGCAGUGAGUGCAAAACUAAGGCUACCAAAGGCCCGACUUCGUUGAUAUUUAACAAAUGUACCGUGCGCAGAUAUCAGUUUAUGACAAAAGUGAACAAGGUGUUUUCGUCCUCCUUGGUGAUGCUGGUCGUCAGCUGACUGGGAAGCACGGAAUUGGUUAGCAGCUACUUUGAGGCCAACGGAAACGAAGGAGUUAAUCACGCGGUGCCUGUCCCGGAAGCUCUAAUCAGCACCAUCGGACAAACACAUAAGUUUUGUGUGAAAGUUACAGAUCACAACUUAUCAGGAAAGACCUGAUCUCUAACUGUGACCAAGAUCCUCUCUUUAGACACUCCACCAACAAAAGAAACCUCGGAAGGAAUCCACAAUGAUGCAAGGAAGAACCAUUUGAGACUGGAAACAAGGUGUGUAAAGCUUCCAAAAGCCGUGUGCAUUCUGCAGAGGGGAGUAAGAGGACUUGUGACAGUGUUGAGAUAGAGAAAGCUAAACGCCCCAAGUGUGGGAAUUAGAGCUUCCGUAUGUCUUCUCAGAUCUUGCAAGGGAUUGCAGUUUAAGUGUUUGUUUCCAGUUUAAUUAUUAACUCAUGAUUUCCAUUCAGUUUUUUUUUUCUCAGAGCUUUUUCGCCUUGCAAA